rnacentral:lncRNA from 1 species
AGUGCUCAGAUAAGAAAAUGUGGUUUUAAUUUCCAGUGGAUCAUAAUGGUAGAUCAAUUGAAUGGCAGAAUGUCGUGAGGAAACUAUGAAGAAUGCUGAUUGUGUUCAGUCCUUUGAGUGAAAGUUAGUGAGAGGCACAGGCAGCUGUAAUCAGCUUUUGCUAAGAUUGCACUGUGUAUAGUGCUAAGAAGUCAGAGGGAUGGAUGUAACAUACACGCAGUGUAGUGCAGAAAGGAAAUCUCUGAAGCAAAGAGGAAGUUUUAAGGCUGCUCUGCUUCAUUUGCAGCUAUUUUUGUUCAUUUAAUCUGAUAUCCUUAGGCCACUGUGGUGUAUCCAUACUGCUUCCAUGGCAAAUCCAUGGGAAGUGGGUGAGGUUUGGCUGAUGUACAUCACUGCUGUAUGCCACGCUUCCUGCAGGUCAGGUAUGAUGCAUGCUUGCUGUAGGGCAUGCUUUCAGAAUGACAAUUUCCUGAAGUGCCAGCAAAUAAUUCAACUGCUGCUUGUUGGCAUCUAUCUGACCUACCUGGAAAAAAGGACCAAAUGGAUAUAAGGGAUAAUUGUUUUCUUAUGUUGGUGUAGAUUAUUACUGAGUGUACUUUUAUCAGCAGCAUUCUCAAACCUUCAUUCUGCUUUGCCGUUCAUCAUUCUGCCCUUGGGACCCUUCCUUUUCAUCAUGGAAAAGGAACAGAGGAAUUAAGAAUGGGGCUGUGGUGCAGCUGGUGACAAUGGAUGGACCAAGAGUUUGGGUGUGUUGUACUGGGAUGGGACACAUAGAAGGUGAUGAAAAAUCAAAGCCCUGAAGUGGGAGUACGAGAGGAUGAGGGGAUGUGGAGGCAUUCAGAUGGACUGACAUUCUGUUUAUGUUCUCAGACAAAAAUGCUUUAGUUUGCUGCUGUGACAGAUUCUAACCAGUUUUAUAGUAUCUAUGACAUGAUAAACAAAGCUUGCUUAGGAAAUAAUGACUUAGGAGAAAUUCUGUGUAAGGUUGUAUUUCUUUUCUUUUUCCCCUCACAAGGUUAGUAGAAACAAAACUUAAAUAUGUGCUUCAUAUGUACUGCAGUUCCAUCCCUAUAGGGUUAAUGUUUUUUUUAAUAGCCAAGUUAAAUUUUAAGCAUUGUAACCAAUUAAUUAAGGGGUUAGAUUCCUGAUUUUGUUUUAUAAGAUAGAGAAAGCUGAAAAAUGCACUAUGCCAUGGAAAAAGAUGAGCACAAUGGGUUUGAGAUGGUGCAACCUGUUGCUAAAUUAUAAGUUAGGAUAUUUGCAAUGUGAGCUACCAGAAAUGUCUGUUAGCCCAUAUUACAGUGCAAAUGAGACUAGCAAGACUGCAUGGUGCCGGUCCACCCUUGAGAAAGAUUAGCAUGUUGGUGAGCCCUACUCCUUUGGACAUGAGGUAAUUUUAUUGUCUCAUGUGCCAUUAUGGAAUGAGAUGGAAUGAUGGUCUUUCUUGCAGGGAACCAGGCACUCAAAGGCUGUGAAUUUCCUGAGAUCAAUUUGAAAUAGCAACAGUGAGAGAAAGCAUAGCUGUUUGUCUUCAAGCUUAAAGUUUAAGUAUUCUUAAAGAGCAUUUCUACAACUCUUUCUCAGAGUUCUUUUAAGUUUUAUGGUCUUCAUGACGUCUUCACAUUCAGUCAAACUGUGAUGUUCCUCAUGACAGAGUACUGUACAAUUCAUUUUCUUAUUUUUACCAUGAAUUAAUUAGGAGCAGAAUGUAUUGUAUCAAAGAUAUCCCACGGCUCACAGGGUUUGGCAAGGAGACUUUGGGAAAAUGUUCAUCCACGCUUGAACUUCGGAAGCAGCAGGUAGUGCUGUU